rnacentral:siRNA from 1 species
AGGAGUAUGAGAGAGCCGGUGCGG